GAUGAACGCUGGCGGCGUGCUUAACACAUGCAAGUCGAACGGUGAACACGGAGCUUGCUCUGUGGGAUCAGUGGCGAACAGGUGAGUAACACGUGAGCAACCUGCCCCUGACGCUGGGAUAAGCGCUGGAAACGGCGUCUAAUACUGGAUACGAGUAGCGGCCGCAUGGUCAGUUACUGGAAAGAUUUUUUGGUUGGGGAUGGGCUCGCGGCCUAUCAGCUUGUUGGUGAGGUAAUGGCUCACCAAGGCGUCGACGGGUAGCCGGCCUGAGAGGGUGACCGGCCACACUGGGACUGAGACACGGCCCAGACUACUACGGGAGGCAGCAGUGGGGAAUAUUGCACAAUGGGCGAAAGCCUGAUGCAGCAACGCCGCGUGAGGGAUGACGGCCUUCGGGUUGUAAACCUCUUUUAGCAGGGAAGAAGCGAAAGUGACGGUACCUGCAGAAAAAGCGCCGGCUAACUACGUGCCAGCAGCCGCGGUAA
rnacentral:rRNA from 1 species